rnacentral:rRNA from 1 species
GAUGAACGCUGGCGGCGUGCCUAAUACAUGCAAGUCGAGCGAACGGACGCGAAGCUUGCUUCUCUGAUGUUAGCGGCGGACGGGUGAGUAACACGUGGAUAACCUCCCUAUAUGACUGGGAUACCUUCGGGACACCGUAGCUAAUCCCGGAUAAUAUUUUGAACCGCAUGGUUCAAAAGUGAAAGACGGUCUUGCUGUCACUUAUAGCUGGAUCCGCGCUGCAUUGGCUAGUUGGUAAGGUAACGGCUUACCAAGGCACCGAUGCAUAGCCGACCGGAUAGGGUGAUCGCCCACACGGGAGCUGGGACGCGGUCCAUGCUCCUACGGGAGGCAGCAGAAUGGAAUGUGAGGCAAUGGGCGAAAGCCUUACGGAGUAACGGCGAGCGAGUUACGGAGAUCUCGGGUGCGUAAUACUCUGCUACUAGUUGAGAACAUAUGUGGAAGGAACUGUAGACAUAGUGACGGUACCUAGACAGAAAGCCACGGCUAACUACGUG